rnacentral:rRNA from 1 species
UACGUAGGGUGCGAGCGUUGUCCGGAAUUAUUGGGCGUAAAGGGCUCGUAGGCGGUUUGUCGCGUCGGGAGUGAAAACUCAGGGCUUAACCCUGAGCCUGCUUCCGAUACGGGCAGACUAGAGGUAUGCAGGGGAGAACGGAAUUCCUGGUGUAGCGGUGAAAUGCGCAGAUAUCAGGAGGAACACCGGUGGCGAAGGCGGUUCUCCGUGGGCAGUUACCUGACGCUGGAGGAC